AGAGUUUGAUCCUGGCUCAGGAUGAACGCUAGCUACAGGCUUAACACAUGCAAGUCGUGGGGCAGCAUGAGGUCAGCUUGCUGACUUUGAUGGCGACCGGCGCACGGGUGAGUAACGCGUAUCCAACCUGCCCUAUACUCAGGGACAGCCCGUCGAAAGGCGGAUUAAUACCUGAUGUUAUUGUUUGAAGGCAUCUGAUGACAAUCAAAGAUUUAUCGGUAUGGGAUGGGGAUGCGUCUGAUUAGCUUGUCGGCGGGGUAACGGCCCACCAAGGCGACGAUGCGUAGGGGUUCUGAGAGGAAGGUCCCCCACACUGGAACUGAGACACGGUCCAGACUCCUACGGGAGGCAGCAGUGAGGAAUAUUGGUCAAUGGGCGGAAGCCUGAACCAGCCAAGUCGCGUGAGGGAAGACGGCCCUACGGGUUGUAAACCUCUUUUGCCGGGGAGCAAGCCUGAGCACGCGUGCCCAGGCGGAGAGUACCCGGAGAAAAAGCAUCGGCUAACUCCGUGCCAGCAGCCGCGGUAAUACGGAGGAUGCGAGCGUUAUCCGGAUUUAUUGGGUUUAAAGGGUGCGCAGGCGGAAGAUUAAGCCGGCGGUAAAAAUUCCGGGCUCAACCCGGUCGAGCCGUCGGAACUGGUUUUCUAGAGUGGGCGAGAAGUAUGCGGAAUGCGUGGUGUAGCGGUGAAAUGCAUAGAUAUCACGCAGAACGCCGAUUGCGAAGGCAGCAUACCGGCGCCCUACUGACGCUGAGGCACGAAAGCGUGGGGAUCGAACAGGAUUAGAUACCCUGGUAGUCCACGCAGUAAACGAUGAGCGCUAACUGUCCGGGCAAAAUGAUGCCUGGGUGGUACAGAGAAAACGUUAAGCGCUCCACCUGGGGAGUACGCCGGCAACGGUGAAACUCAAAGGAAUAGACGGGGGCCCGCACAAGCGGAGGAACAUGUGGUUUAAUUAGAUGAUACGCGAGGAACUUUACCCGGGCUCAAACGCAGGAUGCAUGUCUCUGAAAGGAGGCAGUUCCUUGGAACAUCUUGGGAGGUGCUGCAUGGUUGUAGUCAGCUCGUGCCGUGAGGUGUCGGGUGAAGUGCCAUAAUGAGCGCAACCCCCAUGGCCAGUUGCUACAGGUAAUGCUGAGGAUUGUGGCGAGACUGCCGGGGCAAGCUGCGAGGAAGGCGGGGAGGAGGUCAAAUCAGCCAGGCCCAUAAGUCCGGGGCGACACUCGUGUUCCAACGGCAGGUACAGAGAGAAGCCAUCCCGCGAGGGAGA
rnacentral:rRNA from 1 species